UCCAUUAACACCGAAUGUUUCUGCAACUGAAUUUUUGCUACCAUCUACACAGUUCAAUCUGCUAUGAACAAAGAACAGAAUAUACAAUAGCACGCCUGUCCUUCCUUUGAAGGACUUCUUACAACAUCUACCAUGUUCCUUCCUGUUUAAGCUCCUUCCGUUGAACUUGUCUCACCUAUCCUUCCAGAACUGUAACUUUGUACAGCAUGUACUCAGGAAGAGUUCAACUUCUUACUGAGCUGGAUAACCUGCGUCAUUGAAGGAUAUUAAAUAAAAGGUAAGGCAUGACACAAAAGGACAAGGGAAUGGCAGCAUGGAAAAGGAUUAAGUCCAGCAGAUACUGCCUCUUCCUAUCCAUGUUAGAAACCAGGGCAUGGCAGUUGGGAUGAAGAGAGAGGCUUCUAUCUGCUUCUGGGACUCGGCAUGGUGACACCUGAUAACACAGAGGAGAUGGACACAGGCAUUCUGCCAUUGUAACAUUCCAGCAAGAUGUGUUCAGUGGGAAGAUACUGGAUGAGUUCCACAUAAUCAAAGUGCUGUAAGAAAAUAAAAAUACUAUUUGAUUGCAAUGACUGUUGUAAUGCCAAA